rnacentral:rRNA from 1 species
GAUGAACGCUGGCGGCGUGCCUAAUACAUGCAAGUCGAGCGAAUGGAUUAAGAGCUUGCUCUUAUGAAGUUAGCGGCGGACGGGUGAGUAACACGUGGGUAACCUGCCCAUAAGACUGGGAUAACUCCGGGAAACCGGGGCUAAUACCGGAUAACAUUUUGAACCGCAUGGUUCGAAAUUGAAAGGCGGCUUCGGCUGUCACUUAUGGAUGGACCCGCGUCGCAUUAGCUAGUUGGUGAGGUAACGGCUCACCAAGGCAACGAUGCGUAGCCGACCUGGGAGGGUGAUCGGCCACACUGGGACUGAGACACGGCCCAGACUCCUACGGGAGGCAGCAGUAGGGAAUCUUCCGCAAUGGACGAAAGUCUGACGGAGCAACGCCGCGUGAGUGGUGAAGGCCUUCGGGUCGUAAAACUCUGUUGUUAGGGAAGAACAAGUGCUAGUUGAAUAAGCUGGCACCUUGACGGUACCUAACCAGAAAGCCACGGCUAACUACGUGCCAGCCGCCGCAGUAA